GGCUCGGUAGCGCGUGGUGCGCAUCUGCAUAUCGUUGUUGAAGUGUUCGCCACCACGGUGGGAUAAAUUGAAGCAGACCCGCCUGUUCGACUCGGGCCCGAGCCA